GGAAGCUCAGUCCUCACAGCUUCAUCAGAGACAAACUCAACACAUGGAAACAGAAGCUGAUGGAGAGGACUGUGGAGGACCAGAACCAGCCAGGAACUCACAUCCACGUUUACAGCCAGAGACUGGAGACCAGACUGGAGACUCUUCUGAACCUGAGGCUGAUGACAGUGCUGAUUGGAAGGAGACCAGAGAACCUCAGUCAGCUUUAAACUCUCUGAAACAUGAUUCAAGACGUAAGAAAACAUUCAGCUGCUCUGAGUGUGGGAGAAGAUUUGGCUUCAAGUCACAUCUGAAGACACACAUGAGAACUCACACAGGAGAGAAACCUUUCAGCUGCUCUGAGUGUGAUAAAGCUUUCGCUGCAGGUGGAACCCUGAAGAAACACAUGAGAACUCACACAGGAGAAAAACCUUUUAGCUGCUUAGUUUGUAAGAAAUAUUUUACACAGAAAGGAAGUUUACGGUCACACAUGGCUGUAGUCCACACAGGAGAGAAAAGAUUUAGCUGCUCAAUUUGUAAGAAAUAUUUUGCACAGAGAGGAGGUUUACGGUCACACAUUGUAGUCCACACAGGAGAAAAACCUUUCAGCUGCUCAAUUUGUAAGAAAUCUUUUACACAGAGAGGAAGUUUACAGAGACACAUGGCUGUAGUCCACACAGGAGAGAAAAGAUUCAGCUGCAGUGUUUGUAACAGAAGAUUUUUCUGGCAUUGUCUUGUCAAAACACAUAAAUGUGUUGGUCAGAUGGAGACAGAAGCUGAUGGAGAGCACUGUCAGUUUUUCCCACAGAAUUAGAUUCCACGAAUAGGAAAGGGGGCUUUCGCUUCUGACAACAUUUUGCUCCUCAGUUGAAAAAUGUAGGAGUGACUUACAUAAGGUAACUGCUAUUACUGUUGUAGCUAAUUUGUACAAUAAUACAAUAGUGUUAUGAAUAUUAAACACUUUGAAGUGUAAUAUUUUCUAUUUUGAAAUAUUGAUGAAUAAAUUGUGUAACCGAUGUAGAGUAACAGACCGCCCCUACAGUUCGGCAUGCAUGUGAACCGCAGAUUGUUGCGAAUGUAACCGUCAUAGUGUGAAAUACAGUUUAGCUGCUGCUGUUACGUGAACAGGCCUCAGCAGAGAGGGGGAGGGAGAUGAUCUCUGCAGCACAUUCAGGGAGUCAGGUCAAUACCGCUAAAGCACUCACAACUUUGACUUUCAUGCGUAGGCUACUCCCAAAUGGCUCACAUCACAGACUUUGAAAGAGUCAUACAUGCAUUAAUUACGUCCCGUUUAGACUACUGUAACUCUUUGUAUGUUGGAUUGGAUCAGUCAUCCCUUCGUCGGUUACAGUUUGUCCAGAACACAGCAGCUCAGCUUUUAACCGGGACCAAAAAGCGCGACCACAUUACACCGGUUUUGGCCACGCUCCACUGGCUUCCUGUUUGUUUCAGGGUUGAAUUUAAAAUUGUAUUAAUUGUUUUCAAGAUCUUAAAUGGGUUGUCGCCUUCUUAUUUAUCAGAGCUUUUACAUGUCCACACACUUGUCAAAGCACUGAGGUCUUCCAAUCAGAUGCUCCUCGAUGUGCCCAGGUCCAGGUUAAAAGUCAAAGGUGACCGAGCCUUUUCAUUGGCUGCUCCAAACCUCUGGAAUAGUCUACCUUAGUGAUGGUCAAAUGAAGCUUCGCGAACCAGUGUCCUUACUUUCUGAGCUCACUAGAUGGCGCUCUCUGUUCAAAGAAGAAGGUUAAAUGAAUGGCAAUUCAAUGGGAUUUCAAACCCUUUGUUGAACCAAGAGCGCCAUCUAGUGAGCUCAGAAAGUAAAGACACUGGUUCGCGAAGCUUCAUUUGACCAUCACUAGUCUACCUAUUCAUAUAAGAACAUCCCGGACCGCUGAAACAUUCAAGUCCUUGCUUAAGACCCACUACUAUGCAUUGGCUUUCAAUUCAAGUUGAGCUUUGAUAUCUUGACCUUUUUCUACUGUUAGUUAUUUUGUAUUGUAUAUUGUGUAUUGUUUUUGUAUAUUAUUUUUGGAGCUUGUUAAGCACAUUGGUCAACUAUGGUUGUUUUUAAAUGUGCUAUAUAAAUAAAAUUGAACUGAACUGACUCUGCAAA